GAUGAACGCUGGCGGCGUGCUUAACACAUGCAAGUCGAACGGAAAGGCCCAAGCUUGCUUGGGUACUCGAGUGGCGAACGGGUGAGUAGCACGUGGGUGAUCUGCCCUGCACUUCGGGAUAAGCCUGGGAAACUGGGUCUAAUACCGGAUAGGACCACAUUUUGGAUGGUGUGGUGGAAAGUUUUUCGGUGUGGGAUGAGCUCGCGGCCUAUCAGCUUGUUGGUGGGGUAAUGGCCUACCAAGGCGUCGACGGGUAGCCGGCCUGAGAGGGUGUACGGCCACAUUGGGACUGAGAUACGGCCCAGACUCCUACGGGAGGCAGCAGUGGGGAAUAUUGCACAAUGGGCGCAAGCCUGAUGCAGCGACGCCGCGUGGGGGAUGACGGCCUUCGGGUUGGAAACUCCUUUCGCUAGGGACGAAGCGUUAUGUGACGGUACCUGGAGAAGAAGCACCGGCUAACUACGUG
rnacentral:rRNA from 1 species